AGCGAACGCUGGCGGCAAGCCUAACACAUGCAAGUCGAACGAAGCCUUCGGGCCUAGUGGCGGACGGGUGAGUAACACGUGGGAACGUACCUUUUGGUUCGGAAUAACGCAGAGAAAUUUGCGCUAAUACCGAAUGAGCCCUUCGGGGGAAAGAUUUAUCGCCGAAAGAUCGGCCCGCGUUGGAUUAGGUAGUUGGUGUGGUAAAGGCGCACCAAGCCUACGAUCCAUAGCUGGUCUGAGAGGAUGAUCAGCCACACUGGGACUGAGACACGGCCCAGACUCCUACGGGAGGCAGCAGUGGGGAAUCUUGCGCAAUGGGCGAAAGCCUGACGCAGCCAUGCCGCGUGAAUGAUGAAGGUCUUAGGAUUGUAAAAUUCUUUUACCAGGGACGAUAAUGACGGUACCUGGAGAAAAAGCCCCGGCUAACUUCGUGCCAGCCGCCGCAGUAAGAC
rnacentral:rRNA from 1 species